AUUUGAAUGUGGAACAGGACAGAGGCUGGUUGGGUUGUUGGCUUAGAAAGCAGUUACAGAUGACGCGGUUAUUGCAAGAACUCCUAAAAAAUAUUAGAAGUUAUGAUAACACGAAAAAAAGAAGAAUAGUUAGAUGGAUGCAGAAAUGGGGUAUCCUGAAAAGUAGGAUGCAGUGUCCAAAAUGCAAUCGAAGCAUGCGCCUGGAAAAAUGCGAUCGCAGCGAUGGGUUACGAUGGGUCUGUAAGCAUCACAAAAGUUCACCACUCUCUGUGCGCAAUGGCUCAAUAUUCACCAAUUCUCACACCCCUUUGGUGAAAUGGCUUGAGUUUAUGUACAGGUUUGCACAAGGUUUGCAGUUGAAGCAGCUUGCCAUGAUCAAUGACGGUAUAGCAGGAAGCUCAAAGACACUGACAAGAAUGACAAAAGUACUCAGAAAGGUU